GCGAACGCUGGCGGCAGGCCUAAUACAUGCAAGUCGAGCGGCCCUUCGGGGCAGCGGCGGACAGGUGAGUAACGCGCGGGAACGUGCCCUUUGGUACGGAACUACUGAGGGAAACUUCAGCUAAUACCGUAUGUGCCCUUCGGGGGAAAGAUUUAUCGCCAUUGGAGCGGCCCGCGUUAGAUUAGCUAGUUGGUAGGGUAAUGGCCUACCAAGGCGACGAUCUAUAGCUGGUCUGAGAGGAUGAUCAGCCACACUGGGACUGAGACACGGCCCAGACUCCUACGGGAGGCAGCAGUAGGGAAUCUUGCGCAAUGGGCGAAAGCCUGACGCAGCCAUGCCGCGUGAAUGAUGAAGGUCUUAGGAUUGUAAAAUUCUUUCACCGGGGACGAUAAUGACGGUACCCGGAGAAGAAGCCCCGGCAAACUUCGUGCCAGCCGCCGCCGUAACAC
rnacentral:rRNA from 1 species